rnacentral:rRNA from 1 species
AACGUACGCUGGCGGCACGCCUAACACAUGCAAGUCGAACGCAGUAGCAAUACUGAGUGGCAAACGGGUGAGUAUAAUGUGGGAAUCUGCCUUUUGGUUUGGAAUAACACGGGGAAACUUGUGCUAAUACCGAAUAAGCCCUUACGGGGAAAGUUUUAAUGCCGAAAGAUGAGCCCGCACUUGAUUAGCUAGUUGGUAAGGUAAAAGCUUACCAAGGCAACGAUCAAUAGCUGUUCUUAGAGGAAGACCAGCCACAUUGGGACUGAGACACGGCCCAGACUCCUACGGGAGGCAGCAGUGGGGAAUCUUGCACAAUGGGGGAAACCCUGAUGCAGCGAUGCCGCGUGAGUGAAGAAGGCCUUUGGGUUGUAAAACUCUUUCGUCGGGGAAGAAAAUGACUAUACCCGAAUAAGAAGGUCCGGCUAACUUCGUGCCAGCAGCCGCGGUAAUACGAAGGGACCUAGCGUAGUUCGGAAUUACUGGGCUUAAAGAGCUCGUAGGUGGUUAAAAAAGUUGAUGGUGAAAUCCCAAGGCUCAACCUUGGAACUGCCAUCAAAACUUUUUAGCUAGAGUGUGAUAGAGGUAAGUGGAAUUUCUAGUGUAGAGGUGAAAUUCGUAGAUAUUAGAAAGAACACCAAAUGCGAAGGCAACUUACUGGGUCACUACUGACACUGAGGAGCGAAAGCAUGGGUAGCGAAGAGGAUUAGAUACCCUCGUAGUCCAUGCCGUAAACGAUGUGUGCUAGACGUUGGAAAUAUAUUUUUCAGUGUCGCAGCGAAAGCAUUAAGCACACCGCCUGGGGGAGUACGACCGCAAGGUUAAAACUCAAAUGAAUUGACGGGGACCCGCACAAGCAGUGGAGCAUGUGGUUUAAUUCGAAGAUACGCGCAGAACCUUACCAACACUUGACAUGUUCGUCGCGAGCCUAAGAGAUUAGGCUUUUCAGUUCGGCUGGACGAGACACAGGUGCUGCAUGGCUGUCGUCAGCU